rnacentral:rRNA from 1 species
CAACCCUACGGGACGCAGCAGUAGGGAAUCUUCCACAAUGGACGAAAGUCUGAUGGAGCAACGCCGCGUGAGUGAAGAAGGGUUUCGGCUCGUAAAGCUCUGUUGGUAGUGAAGAAAGAUAGAGGUAGUAACUGGCCUUUAUUUGACGGUAAUUACUUAGAAAGUCACGGCUAACUACGUUGCAGCAGCCCCGGUAAUACGAAGGUGGCCAGCGUUGUUCGGAUUUAUUGGGCGUAAAGCGGGUGCAGGCGG